rnacentral:rRNA from 1 species
GGGGAACCCCAUGGCCUUCACUGGCUGUGGGGGGAACCAGGACUUUUACUGUGAAAAAAUUAGAGUGUUCAAAGCAGGCCUUUGCUCGAAUACAUUAGCAUGGAAUAAUAGAAUAGGACGUGUGGUUCUAUUUUGUUGGUUUCUAGGACCGCCGUAAUGAUUAAUAGGGAUAGUCGGGGGCGUCAGUAUUCAGCUGUCAGAGGUGAAAUUCUUGGAUUUGCUGAAGACUAACUACUGCGAAAGCAUUCGCCAAGGAUGUUUUCAUUAAUCAGGGAACGAAAGUUAGGGGAUCGAAGACGAUCAGAUACCGUCGUAGUCUUAACCAUAAACUAUGCCGACUAGGGAUCGGACGGGAUUCUAUAAUGACCCGUUCGGCACCUUACGAGAAAUCAAAGUUUUUGGGUUCUGGGGGGAGUAUGGUCGCAAGGCUGAAACUUAAAGAAAUUGACGGAAGGGCACCACAAGGCGUGGAGCCUGCGGCUUAAUUUGACUCAACACGGGGAAACUCACCAGGUCCAGACAAAAUAAGGAUUGACAGAUUGAGAGCUCUUUCUUGAUCUUUUGGAUGGUGGUGCAUGGCCGUUCUUAGUUGGUGGAGUGAUUUGUCUGCUUAAUUGCGAUAACGAACGAGACCUCGGCCCUUAAAUAGCCCGGUCCGCAUUUGCGGGCCGCUGGCUUCUUAAGGGGACUAUCGGCUCAAGCCGAUGGAAGUGC